UGCAAGUCGAACGUGAAAGCACUUCGGUGUGAGUAGAGUGGCGGACGGGUGAGUAACGCGUGGGAAUCUACCCAGUAGUGGGGGACAACUACCGGAAACGGUAGCUAAUACCGCAUACGCCCUAUGGGGGAAAGGCUUCGGCCGCUAUUGGAUGAGCCCGCGUCAGAUUAGCUAGUUGGUAGGGUAAAGGCCUACCAAGGCAACGAUCUGUAGCUGGUCUGAGAGGACGAACAGCCACACUGGGACUGAGACACGGCCCAGACUCCUACGGGAGGCAGCAGUGGGGAAUAUUGGACAAUGGGCGAAAGCCUGAUCCAGCAAUGCCGCGUGUGUGAAGAAGGCCUGCGGGUUGUAAAGCACUUUCAGUUGGGAAGAUGAUGACGUUACCAACAGAAGAAGCACCGGCUAAAUCCGUGCCAGCAGCCGCGGUAAUACGGAUGGUGCGAGCGUUAAUCGGAAUUACUGGGCGUAAAGCGCGCGUAGGCGGCUAAGUCAGUCAGAAGUGAAAGCCCCGGGCUCAACCUGGGAAUUGCUUUUGAUACUGCUUAGCUAGAGUUUGGUAGAGGAUAGUGGAAUUCCAGGUGUAGCGGUGAAAUGCGUAGAUAUCUGGAGGAACAUCAGUGGCGAAGGCGACUGUCUGGACCAAAACUGACGCUGAGGUGCGAAAGCGUGGGUAGCAAACAGGAUUAGAUACCCUGGUAGUCCACGCCGUAAACGAUGUCAACUAGCCGUCGGGUCUAUUUACAGACUUGGUGGCGAAGCUAACGCGAUAAGUUGACCGCCUGGGGAGUACGGCCGCAAGGUUAAAACUCAAAGGAAUUGACGGGGGCCCGCACAAGCGGUGG
rnacentral:rRNA from 1 species